UACGUAGGGGGCAAGCGUUGUCCGGAAUCAUUGGGCGUAAAGAGCGUGUAGGCGGUCCGGUCAGUCGGUUGUGAAAGUCAAGGGCUCAACCCUUGAAUGCCGGCCGAUACUGUCGGACUAGAGUCCGGAAGAGGCGAGUGGAAUUCCCGGUGUAGCGGUGAAAUGCGCAGAUAUCGGGAGGAACACCAAUGGCGAAGGCAGCUCGCUGGGACGGUACUGACGCUGAGGCGCGAAAGCGUGGGGAGCAAACAGG
rnacentral:rRNA from 1 species